UACGAAGGGGGCUAGCGUUGUUCGGAUUUACUGGGCGUAAAGCGCACGUAGGCGGGUCGUUAAGUCAGGGGUGAAAUCCCGGAGCUCAACUCCGGAACUGCCUUUGAUACUGGCGACCUUGAGGCUGGAAGAGGUUAGUGGAAUUCCCAGUGUAGAGGUGAAAUUCGUAGGUAUUGGGAAGAACACCAGUGGCGAAGGCGGCUAACUGGUCCAGAUCUGACGCUGAGGUGCGAAAGCGUGGGGGAGCAAACAGG
rnacentral:rRNA from 1 species